rnacentral:rRNA from 1 species
CCUUUUGCAUAAUGAUCCUACGAGUUACUCCUCUCUAGCAAGGUUAAGGACUUAAGGUCCGGAGCCGAAGCGAAAGCAAGUCUUAAACAGGCGUAUAGUUAGGGGGGGUAGACGCGAAACCUGGUGAUCUACCCAUGGUCAGGUUGAAGCUUCGGUAAUACGAAGUGGAGGACCGAACCCUCAGAUGUUGAAAAAUCUUGGGAUGAACUGUGGGUAGGGGUGAAAGGCCAAUCAAACCAGGAAAUAGCUCGUUCUCCCCGAAAUGCAUUUAGGUGCAGCGUCGGAAUCGAGUGUCAUAGAGGUAGAGCUACUGAUUGGGCUAGGGGGCUUCACCGCCUACCAAACCCUAAUAAACUCCGAAUGCUAUGACAUAUAUCCGGCAGUGAGGGCAUGGGUGCUAAGGUCCAUGUCCGAGAGGGAAACAACCCAGACUAUCUGCUAAGGUCCCCAAAUCGGGGCUAAGUUCAUCUAACGUGGUGCGGCUGCACUGACAGCUAGGAUGUUGGCUUGGAAGCAGCCAUUCAUUUAAAGAGUGCGUAACAGCUCACUAGUCGAGCGGCCGUGCGUGGAUAAUAAUCGGGGAUAAGCCCCGUACCGAAGCAGUAGAUAGAAAUAUGGUAGGGGAGCAUUCAUACGACACUGAAGGUGUACCGUAAGGUAUGCUGGAGUCUUAUGAAAAGAAAAUGUAGGAAUGAGUAACGAUAAAGUGGGCGAGAAACCCACUCACCAUAAGACUAAGGUUUCCUGAUCAACGCUAAUCGGAUCAGGGUUAGUCGGGACCUAAGGCGAACCCGAAAGGGGUAGUCGAUGGAAAACAGAUUAAUAUUUCUGUACCUGCUACACAUUAAAAGUGACGGAGAUAUGUAGUUGUUACGUGCUGACGGAAUAGCACGUUGAGCCUAGCCUUCUGGGCGAAGCGAAACAAUGAAAUAGCUUCCAAGAAAAGCGAGUGUAGCGGCCCGUACCGCAAACCGACACAGGUAGUCGAGGAGAGUAUCCUAAGGUGCUCGAGUGAAUCAUGGUUAAGGAACUAGGCAAAUUAGUCUCGUAACUUCGGGAGAAGAGACGCUCUUUUAUUAGAGCCGCAGUGAAUAGGCCCAAGCGACUGUUUAUCAAAAACACAUGGCUUUGCUAAAUCGAAAGAUGACGUAUAAGGCCUGACACCUGCCCGGUGCUGGAAGGUUAAGAGGAGAAGUUAGUUUCGACGAAGCUUUGAAUUGAAGCCCCAGUAAACGGCGGCCGUAACUAUAACGGUCCUAAGGUAGCGAAAUUCCUUGUCGGGUAAGUUCCGACCUGCACGAAUGGUGUAACGAUUUGGGCACUGUCUCAACCAUGAGCUCGGUGAAAUUGUAGUAUCGGUGAAGAUGCCGAUUACCCGCAACGGGACGAAAAGACCCCGUGAACCUUUACUAUAGCUUUGCAUUGGUGUUGAUUAUUUGAUGUGUAGGAUAGGUGGGAGACUUUGAAGCUGUGUCGCUAGGCAUGGUGGAGUCGUCCUUGAAAUACCACCCUUUAAAUAGUUGUCAUCUAACCCUUACGGGGACAGUGCAUGGUGGGUAGUUUGACUGGGGUGGUCGCCUCCAAAAGAGUAACGGAGGCUUCUAAAGGUACCCUCAGUAUGGUUGGUAAUCAUACGAAGAGUGUAAUGGCAUAAGGGUGCUUGACUGUGAGACUUACAAGUCGAGCAGGUACGAAAGUAGAGCAUAGUGAUCCGGUGGUUCCGCAUGGAAGGGCCAUCGCUCAAAGGAUAAAAGGUACUCCGGGGAUAACAGGCUGAUCACUCCCAAGAGCUCACAUCGACGGAGUGGUUUGGCACCUCGAUGUCGGCUCGUCACAUCCUGGGGCUGGAGAAGGUCCCAAGGGUUGGGCUGUUCGCCCAUUAAAGUGGCACGCGAGCUGGGUUCAGAACGUCGUGAGACAGUUCGGUCUCUAUCUGUUGUGGGCGUUUGAAACUUGAGAGAACCUGAUCCUAGUACGAGAGGACCGGAUUGGACAUACCUCUGGUGUAUCUGUUGUGGCGCCAGCUGCAUCGCAGAGUAGCUACGUAUGGAUGAGAUAAGCACUGAAAGCAUCUAAGUGCGAAACUCAUCUCGAGAUGAAGUUUCAUUGAGGGUCGUUGAAGACUACAACGUUGAUAGGUCACAGGUGUAAAGGCAGCGAUGUCAAAGCCGAGUGAUACUAAUUACCCGAAAGUUUAUGAG